ACUGUUGAUUCCGCUACGUCGACACUCCGUCGAGCCCCCGAUGCCCCAGUUUCGACCACACCCGACGGCCAUCAAAGGGAUUGUUUCGUGCACGAUAGACGUCAGACCCCGUAGGUAGAAACAAUAGGGACACAGAACAAGCAAGUGAAUGUGAUGACAUGCAGAUCACUCUAGAAGCUAAAAUUAAAAUAAUUUGGAUUAAGUGAAUUACUUAUGCUCUAAUGAAAUGAAUUCCAAGUGCUACUUAUUAUCUAACUGUUUAGAUACCAUGCAAGUAAUUUAAACAUCUAAAUGGUGAAACUCGUGAUCUAUAUGCUAGUUGUUUCUUAUUGCAGUUUUUGAAGUAGCUUACUGGAAUUGUACUACACAUGAAUUCGUAGAUAUAUAUAAAAUUACAGAUAAGGGUGAGACAGAUUAUUUGGCAAAAUGCUUUGAUUAUAUCUACAUAUAUUUUUUCUUUAAUAGCAUAAAUUUAAGGAAGUGCAUUCAAAACUAGUAACUAGGAUACAUACACUUAAACACUAAAUUGAACUACGACACUUGUCACAGGGAAGAAUUUAUAAGUUGAAGAAUCAACGCAUCAACUAGAACGGUUGAGCGGUAACGAAUUACUACAAGAAUUUUGUAAUUUAUUCUUCGUAUCAUCUCACCAAUAAAUUCACAUAAUUGACUAUUCGUCUAUUACCGCCCAACAUCUUACAAAAUUCUUGUAAGCAUCUUCCAAGAACGCCAAGUAUUAGACGACUGGUGCUAAUCG